CCUACGGGAGGCAGCAGUGGGGGAUAUUGGACAAUGGGGGGAACCCUGAUCCAGCGACGCCGCGUGAGUGAAGAAGUAUUUCGGUAUGUAAAGCUCUGUCAGCAGGGAAGAAAGAAAUGACGGUACCUGACCAAGAAGCCCCGGCUAACUACGUGCCAGCAGCCGCGGUAAUACGUAGGGGGCAAGCGUUAUCCGGAAUUACUGGGUGUAAAGGGAGCGUAGACGGUGAUGCAAGUCAGAAGUGAAAGCCCGGGGCUCAACUCCGGGACUGCUUUUGAAACUGUGUGACUGGAGUGCAGGAGAGGUAAGCGGAAUUCCUGGUGUAGCGGUGAAAUGCGUAGAUAUCAGGAGGAACACCAGUGGCGAAGGCGGCUUACUGGACUGUAACUGACGUUGAGGCUCGAAAGCGUGGGGAGCAAACAGGAUUAGAUACCCCGGUAGUC
rnacentral:rRNA from 1 species